AGUGAACGCUGGCGGUAGGCCUAACACAUGCAAGUCGAACGGCAGCACAGUAAGAGCUUGCUCUUACGGGUAGCGAGUGGCGGACGGGUGAGGAAUACAUCGGAAUCUACUUUUUCGUGGGGGAUAACGUAGGGAAACUUACGCUAAUACCGCAUACGACCUACGGGUGAAAGCAGGGGGUCUUCGGACCUUGCGCGAUUGAAUGAGCCGAUGUCGGAUUAGCUAGUUGGCGGGGUAAAGGCCCACCAAGGCGACGAUCCGUAGCUGGUCUGAGAGGAUGAUCAGCCACACUGGAACUGAGACACGGUCCAGACUCCUACGGGAGGCAGCAGUGGGGAAUAUUGGACAAUGGGCGCAAGCCUGAUACAGCCAUACCGCGUGGGUGAAGAAGGCCUUCGGGUUGUAAAGCCCUUUUGUUGGGAAAGAAAAGCAGCAGGUUAAUACCCCGCUGUUCUGACGGUACCCAAAGAAUAAGCACCGGCUAACUUCGUG
rnacentral:rRNA from 1 species